UUCUGUUGUUGGGUUUUUUGUUUGUUCUUCUAAGAUAGGGUUUGUUGCUUUGUUGCCCAAGCUAGAGUGCAGUGCAGCCUCAAUCUCCUAUGCUCAAGCAAUCCUCCCACCUCAGCUUCUUGAGUAGCUGGGACUACAGGCAUGUGCUACCACGCCUGGCCAGCUUUUAUUUUUGAGAGCUCCUUUAGGUAACAACAACAAUAAAAUUAUACUAAUUUAGUAUACUUUUUUUUUUUUUGAGAUGGAUUCACGCUCUGUCACCCAGGCUGGAGUGCAGUGGUGUGAUCUUGGCUCACUGCAACCUCCGCCUCCCGGGUUCAAGCUAUUCCCCUGCCUCAGCUUCCCGAAUACCUGGGACUACAGGUGCAUGCCACCACGCCUGGCUAAUUUUUUGUGUCUUUAGUAGAGACAGCGGGGUUUCACCAUGUUAGUCAGGAUGGUCUCGAUCUCCUGACCUAGUGAUGCACCUGCCUCGGCCUCCCAACGUGCUGCGAUUACAGGCAUGAGCCACUGAGCCCGGCCUAAUUUAGUAUACUUUUUAAAAACCUAGUAUGACUAUUUUGCUUAUGUGGAUUUAAGUUUUAGAUUGCUUAUUACAGAAAAUCACAGAAAGGUAAUUUAAAUACCCUAAAUAGAAAGUCAAGGAAAAGGGUGUCCUUAAUGCUCCUUGUCUCCUGGUUAGCCUAUGAUAUUUCAGCUCCAGCCAAUUUCCUUUACACAAAGACCCUGCUUAAAGCAUUUAUGAAUAAGCUGGAAGAGUGGUGGAUGAGACAUGGCUUCUCUGAAUAGGGGAGGGAGGACACAAAAAAUAGCUGCUUUCAUUGAGGGCAGGAAAGAGAUUAUUUCAUUAGGAGCCAAACAGUGAGACUAUCUCAGUACAAACAAUUGUUUGGCUUGAAGACUCCAUGUGGGUAAUUACUCCAGCAAAGGCUCAGCUGGAAUGGAACACGGAGCCUGCCAGGACCUAAGGAUAGGGACUGACACAGGCUUAAGUGUCUGAAUCAUGGCUUUGGAAUCCCAGAGCAUCCCAGCAAAGAUGCUCACAGAACACACUCUACCCCAAUCAGCGAGAAGCACCAUUCUGCACCCGACCAAGUGCAGAAUGUGAAUUUAAAACAGAUGAGAAAAUCUGGGGGUACUGGGAGCAAAUUCAAAGUUAUUAAACCUAAACUGAUAUUUUAUAGCAAAUGUAGCAAGUCCAAAGAUUAGAUUUCUUGGGCAAUCUAAUGCAUUUCAAUCACCACUUCAAUGGCUAACAAUAGGCUGGGUGGAGUUGGUGUGCAGGGAGGGACUGCUGAGCUAAUAGCUGGGCAAAUCAUUUCAAAGUCAGCCAGGUGGACCUGAUAUUUCAAAACUUGAUACUAUAAUUAAACCAAUUUCCUAGUGACCUCACUUCAGGUAAUAUAAGCAAACUUGGUUCUCAAGUUACUGUCUUCAUCUCCUGGGGACAUUCAGUUCUUUACAUUUUUAGGUUACUUCAGUUUAACUUCCUCUUUGCAACAACCAGUAUCUACUCAUAUAUUUAAAAACAAAAACAAAACAAAACAAAACAAAAAACUAAAGCUGCAAAGUGAGCCUGCCCACUGCGGGAGGGAAAGGGCCUAUGUUUAGAAGAAGCUACUAAAAAGGGUGAUAUGGUCAUUGUCCAAUGAGAUUGCUCUUCAUCCUCCAUCCCUAGGAUAGAUUCCUCACCCCACCACUUUGACGAGGAAUUUUUUUCCCCUAGGAAGCUGAAGGGAUAACUAUCAUAAUACUAGAUUCUGGAUGCACAAGACCCAGUCCCGAUCCAUAACUCACAAUCCCAGGGCCUUCCUAGGUUGCUAUCUGAUAGCCUUUGUGAGUGAAUGCUUUCAUACAUUUCAAUCAUUACCCUGACCAAGGCUAAUAGCAGGCUGGUGGGUGUAGGCGUGUAGGGACUGCUGCGCUAACAGCUGGGCAAUCAUUUCAAAGUUGGCCAGGUGGACUCAACAUUUGAAAACUUGACAUGGUCAUUAAAGUCCCUCAUAAUCAAGCGUCGGCAUUCAUCUGUGUAUAGUAUACACUUAAUGCAUGCUUACUGAUUAAACAGGUAAUAAGCAAUAGUGGAAUAACAUGAAAACUGAUAUUAAAAACAGCCCAUAUUCAAAUAGUCCCAUCUUUGUUCCUCUAGACCAAUGGCUCCCAACAGAAACGAUUUCCCCUCAAGGGGCAAUGCUGAUGUCUAGAGACAUUUUUGGUUGUCACAACGGGCAGAGGGGUAGGGAAGAGCUACUGGCAUCUAGUGGGCAGAGGACAGGAAUGCUGGCUCCUAAACAUUCUAAAAUGCCCUGGACAGUGCCCACAACAAGGAAUCACCCAAAAUGUCAAUAGUCUGAGGUUGAGAAAUCCUGCUCUAGAGGAACCAUUUUUAAGCCAUUUAGUUUGAAGUGAGACAUAAGAAUAUGUCAAUUUUGUGGAAAAGCCUCUCUUGUUCUGUAACAAACAGAUACACGUUUAGAGUACAAAAUUCUAAAAUUGUAACAAACCUUAGGAAUGAUCUAGUCUAAGCACAGUUGGAGAAACUAAGGCCUAGAGAGGUCAAGUCAUUUGCCCAAGUUCACAGAAGAAAGGAUCAGCUGGACUGAAAUUAGAAUCACCUUUACACACCCAAAUGUGUGUUAUACAUAGUAAAUGCUCAAUAAUGGUCACUAAAUUGAUAUCUUGUUCUUUAGGUAUUCUUUUUUUUAUUAUUACAACAUACAAUUCACUCUCUGCUGCUGGGAAUCUGAGACUGAUUGUGAAGAUUUCUUCCCAUCCACACUCCCCUUCCUCAAAAAGAAGCCCAGAAGGGAAAAACAGUGUAACCUACUAGAGCUCAAGACUGAGUGGCCAGGCAGAAGAUGUUUUUCAAUUGUUUCCAGGGAAGCUCAUGUCUUUCACCCAGGCAGAGGCUCUACAUAAAACCUUCUAAGUGAGCAAAUGAGCCCUUGUGCAAGACCAUGGACAUGUGAAUUUCUCUUCGCAACUCAGCACAGCAGCUUUCCUAACACAUUGGAGAAGUCCCAACCAAUGGCAAACAGAUGGAAAAUCAGUGCCAGUUUCACUGAAUCACAACCACAUCCAAACAAGCUAGAAAGCUUUCAGUUCUAAACAAACAGCAGAAUCAAAAUGAAUUCUGGGAUCAAAGUACAGAUGGUUGGUUAGUCCAGUGGUGUGCAGAAUAUCAGUCAUCAAAACAGCCCUGGCUUAAGGGAGGAGAGCAAAAGAUGGAGAUUUGCCCUUUGAAAAAGAAAACAUUCACCACGAUGUUUCAAAACCCAGGCGUUUCAGAAUAGAACACAAUGAGGUCAAAAUAUAUGGCAUAAGGGGGUGGGGCAAAGAUACCAGCCAUGUGAGUACAAAGAUCCUGCAAAGGGAACAUUAGGCAGAUGAACUCAGGGCAGGUCUGGGGGUGGGCGGGGGAGGGGAGUGGGUGGAGGUGGGGGCAUCACAAUUUCAAAAGAGCCCAAGUAAGAUUCUUUAAACGAACCUGUUCCAGUGGGCACAAGGAGUUUCUAAAACUGCUGCAAGGUUAUUAAAUUCUACAGCACCUGAGAACCACGUCUAAAUAUUUACUCCCAUCCCACAAAAGGGCUAAAGGACUGCUAUUUCAGCCUCCUGUUUCACACUUCAUGCUACAUUUUUCCCCAGGAUGAUGUGUCACACCAAAACCUCCUACUGAGAGGGCAGAGGAUUCGCUUCAUGUCUAGCUCCAGCUUCCAAAGCAGCACAGGUGGCAGAAGCACAGAAAUGAAAUGGCACAAAGAAGCAAUUACCACAAAGCAACCAUGAGAUUCACCUGCUCAGCUUCCUGGUGUCACAGAUCUUCAGCUAUCUGGGCUAACAGUAUGAGGAAGACUAUCAAAAAACAAAACAAAGCAUAUGACCUGAACACACAUUAACAGAAUAAUGCUGCUCAUAAUAGGGACAUAGACACUAUGUGCCAGACACCGUGCAUUAAGUAUGCAGAUAGACAUGAAAACACAGUCCCUGUCCUCAUCUCCAGUCUGAGGGCCCUUCUUCAAAAAAAAAAUAAUAAUGCAGUAGCUGUUACCUCCUUUCUACUAAUGUAGGACCUCUAAUCCACCUCCUUAGAGGACUAAGUUUAAGUGAAUGAGGACUGUAUGAACAACAUAAGAUGCUAGUCAAUGGCGCAAGGGUAUUUCCGCACAUCAGGUAUAUAAUGUUGUGUCCGGAAUUGGUGGGUUCUUGGUUUCACUGACUUCAAGAAUGAAGCCGUGGACCCUCGCAGUGAGUGUUACAGUUCUUAAAGGCGGCGUGUCCGGAGUUUGUUCCUUCUGAUGUUCGGAUGUGUUCGGAGUUUCUUCCUUCUGGUGGGGUUCGUGGUCUCGCUGGCUCAGGAGUGAAGCUGUGGACCCUCGCGGUGAGUGUUAAAGCUCUUAAGGCAGCGCGUCUGGAAUUGUUCGUUCCUCCCGGUGGGUUCGUGGUCUCGCUGGCUUCAGGAGUGAAGCUGCAGACCUUCGCGGUGAGUGUUGCAGCUCAUAAAGGCAGUGUGGACCCAAAGAGUGAGUAGCAGUAAGAUUUAUUGCAAAGAGCAAAAGAACAAAGUUUCCACACUGUGGAAGAGGACCCGAACAGGCUGCCACUGCUGGCUCGGGCAGCCUGCUUUUAUUCUCUUAUCUGGCCCCAUCCAAUCACAUCCUGCUGAUUGGUAGAGCGGAGCGGUCUGUUUUGACAGGGUGCUGAUUGGUGCGUUUACAAUCCCUGAGCUAGACACAAAGGUUCUCCACAUCCCCACCAGAUUAGCUAGAUACAGAGUGUGGACACAAAGGUUCUCCAAAUCCCCACCAAGAGUAGCUAGAUACAGAGUGUCCACACAAAGGUUCUCCAAGUCCCCACCAGAGUAGCUAGAUACAGAGUGUCGAUUGGUGCAUUCACAAACCCUGAGCUAGACACAGGGUGCUGAUUGGUGUGUUUACAAACCUUGAGCUAGAUACAGAGUGCCGACUGGUGUAUUUACAAUCCCUGAGCUAGACAUAAAGGUUCUCCAAGGCCCCACCAGACUCAGGAGCCCAGCUGGCUUCAUCCAGUGGAUCUCGCACUGGGGCUGCAGGUGGAGCUGCCCGCCAGUCCCGCGCUGUGCGCCCACACACCUCAGCCCUUGGGUGGUUGAUGGGACCGGGUGCCGUGGAGCAGGGGGCGGUCUCGUUGGGGAGGCUCAGGCUGCACAGGAGCCCACAGAGGUGGGGGGAGGCUCAGGCAUGGCGGGCUGCAGGUCCCGAGCCCUGCCCCGUGGGAAGGCAGCUAAGGCCCGGUGAGAAAUCCAGCGCAGCGCCGGUGGGCCGGCACUGCUGGGGGACCCAGC
rnacentral:lncRNA from 10 species